UACGGGGGGAGCAAGCGUUGUUCGGAUUUACUGGGCGUAAAGGGCGCGUAGGCGGCCACCGCAAGUCAGUUGUGAAAUCUCUGGGCUUAACCCAGAACGGUCAGCUGAUACUGCGGGGCUAGAGUGCAGAAGGGCAACUGGAAUUCUCGGUGUAGCGGUGAAAUGCGUAGAUAUCGAGAGGAACACCUGCGGCGAAGGCGGGUUGCUGGGCUGACACUGACGCUGACAGCGCGAAAGCUAGGGGAGCGAACGGG
rnacentral:rRNA from 1 species